rnacentral:hammerhead_ribozyme from 1 species
AUCCAAAAGAUAAGUCCCAAAUAGGACGAAAUGCGCAUCCUGGAU